UGAGGUAGUAGUGUGUACAGUU
rnacentral:piRNA from 1 species